GGCAUUCUUCCUUAUUGAACUACUUAGGUUAGAAGGAUCGAUGCUUACUUGCACAACGCCUGAACUGCCUGAGUAUACCACAAAAUCUAUGUAAUAUGGUGUAGCAAGCUCAUGGAAUGUAAGCGAAGAUAAAUCAAGGUCUUUGUAUGCUGUGAAGCCAUUGAGAUAUACAUUAAAGUACAACUGUCCAGGUGACAAACUAACAAAAUCACAGAAAUGCAGACGAACAAAGUGGGAAGCAUCUUUAAUAGCGACAGGAAAGUUCCAUGUGAUAUUAAAUUUGAAAUCUGUAGUUACAUUAUCUGUAUUCAUCUGCUGUGCUGUCAUAUAGACAUUAUCAGGAGCAAUUUCCCUUGUAGCACCACCCUUUUGAUAGUUGGGAACAUGAGAAGUUUUUGCAAUUUUAGCAGCAUAUUUCAAAAUGAGAAAAUCUUCAUCUGGAAUCCAACUUCUCCAAAGAGUAUCAUUAAAAGGAGUUAGCUUUAACCCUCCAACAUUAAUCCUAUGAACAGUCUCUAAUGUUUGUAACGUCAUAUUCUGAUUAAACUCCUGAAUUCCUUUGGGACCAACUGAUUUAGCCCCAUCACCAAUUAUGAAAUCAUCAGGAGCUGAAAAC
rnacentral:misc_RNA from 1 species